UACGGGGGGAGCAAGCGUUGUUCGGAUUUACUGGGCGUAAAGGGCUCGUAGGCGGCCAACUAAGUCAGACGUGAAAUCCCUCAGCUUAACUGGGGAACUGCGUCUGAUACUGGAUGGCUUGAGUUUGGGAGAGGGAUGCGGAAUUCCAGGUGUAGCGGUGAAAUGCGUAGAUAUCUGGAGGAACACCGGUGGCGAAGGCGGCAGACUGGACCAACACUGACACUGAGGAGCGAAAGCCAGGGGAGCAAGCGGG
rnacentral:rRNA from 1 species